rnacentral:rRNA from 1 species
GACGAACGCUGGCGGCGUGCUUAACACAUGCAAGUCGAACGGAAAGGCCCUGCUUUUGUGGGGUGCUCGAGUGGCGAACGGGUGAGUAACACGUGAGUAACCUGCCCUUGACUUUGGGAUAACUUCAGGAAACUGGGGCUAAUACCGGAUAGGAGCUCCUGCUGCAUGGUGGGGGUUGGAAAGUUUCGGCGGUUGGGGAUGGACUCGCGGCUUAUCAGCUUGUUGGUGGGGUAGUGGCUUACCAAGGCUUUGACGGGUAGCCGGCCUGAGAGGGUGACCGGCCACAUUGGGACUGAGAUACGGCCCAGACUCCUACGGAAGGCAGCAGUGGGGAAUAUUGCACAAUGGGCGGAAGCCUGAUGCAGCAACGCCGCGUGCGGGAUGACGGCCUUCGGGUUGUAAACCGCUUCCGCCUGUGACGAAGCGUGAGUGACGGUAAUGGGUAAAGAAGCACCGGCUAACUACGUG